rnacentral:rRNA from 1 species
GACUGUGCUAAGGUAGCAUAAUCAUUUGGCCUUUAAUUGGGGUCUAGUAUGAAAGGAUUAAUUAAGGGAGUCUGUCUUUUCGACAUUAAAGUUAACUUAAUAAGAAGGUGAAAAUGCCUUUAAUAAAAUGAAAGACGAGAAGACCCUUAGACUUAUUUACAAUUUUAUAUAGAUAUAUAAUUAGUUUUUGCUGGGGCGGCAGAGCUUCAAAUUUUAACAAGCUUUAUUUUGAGAGAUGUAACAAAUAUUAUUUCUUUAAAAUUAAGUACCUGAGGGAUAACAGCAUUAUUAACAUAUUAGAUUGUGACCUCGAUGUUGGACUAGGA